AUGCUCACUUUGGCAACACAUAUACUAAAAUUGGAAUGAUACAGAGGUUAGCAUGGCCCUUGCACAAGGGUGACACACAAAUUCGUGAAGGGUUCCAUAUUUUU
ensembl:snRNA U6 U6 spliceosomal RNA